AUGCGAUACGUAAUGUGAAUUGCAGAAUUCAGUGAAUCAUCGAAUCUUUGAACGCACAUUGCGCCCGUCGGCAUUCCGACGGGCACGCCUGUCCGAGCGUCAUUGCACCCGUCAAGCCUCGCUUGGUGUUGGGGGACGUCGCGCGCGCACGCGCGACCCCCCCGGAACCCGUUGGCGGUGGCCCUUCGCCCCGAUCGUCGCGCACGUUACGAGCGAGCGCGGGGGGACGCCCGCCCAACCUUUGCGGCCCGUCACACGGCUGCAAAACCACACGCAACGCUUGACCUCGGAUCAGGCGGGGAUACCCGCUGAACUUAA
rnacentral:misc_RNA from 1 species